rnacentral:rRNA from 1 species
GACGAACGCUGGCGGCGUGCUUAACACAUGCAAGUCGAACGGAAAGGCCCUGCUUUUGUGGGGUGCUCGAGUGGCGAACGGGUGAGUAACACGUGAGUAACCUGCCCUUGACUUUGGGAUAACUUCAGGAAACUGGGGCUAAUACCGGAUAGGAGCUCCUGCUGCAUGGUGGGGGUUGGAAAGUUUCGGCGGUUGGGGAUGGACUCGCGGCUUAUCAGCUUGUUGGUGGGGUAGUGGCUUACCAAGGCUUUGACGGGUAGCCGGCCUGAGAGGGUGACCGGCCACAGUGGGACUGAGAUACGGCCCAGACUCCUACGGGAGGCAGCAGUGGGGAAUAUUGCACAAUGGGCGGAAGCCUGAUGCAGCAACGCCGCGUGCGGGAUGACGGCCUUCGGGUUGUAAACCGCUUUCGCCUGUGACGAAGCGUGAGUGACGGUAAUGGGUAAAGAAGCACCGGCUAUCUACGUG